UACGGAGGGGGCGAGCGUUAUUCGGAAUUAUUGGGCGUAAAGGGCGCGUAGGCGGCCGGGCAAGUUGAAGGUGAAAUCCCUCGGCUUAACCGAGGAACUGCCCUCCAAACUGCUUGGCUUGAGUCCGGGAGAGGUGAGUGGAAUUCCCAGUGUAGCGGUGAAAUGCGUAGAUAUUGGGAGGAACACCAGUGGCGAAGGCGGCUCGCUGGACCGGAACUGACGCUGAGGCGCGAAAGCGUGGGGAGCAAACGGG
rnacentral:rRNA from 1 species